rnacentral:rRNA from 1 species
UGGGGAAUAUUGGACAAUGGGCGAAAGCCUGAUCCAGCCAUGCCGCGUGUGUGAAGAAGGUCUUCGGAUUGUAAAGCACUUUAAGUUGGGAGGAAGGGCAGUAAGCGAAUACCUUGCUGUUUUGACGUUACCGACAGAAUAAGCACCGGCUAACUCUGUGCCAGCAGCCGCGGUAAUACAGAGUGUGCAAGCGUUAAUCGGAAUUACUGGGCGUAAAGCGCGCGUAGGUGGUUCGUUAAGUUGAAUGUGAAAGCCCCGGGCUCAACCUGGGAACUGCAUCCAAAACUGGCGAGAUAGAGUAGGGCAGAGGGUGGUGGAAUUUCCUGUGUAGCGGUGAAAUGCGUAGAUAUAGGAAGGAACACCAGUGGCGAAGGCGACCACCUGGGCUCAUACUGACACUGAGGUGCGAAAGCGUGGGGAGCAAACAGG